AUUCUUAAAACCUAGAGGUGUUCUUCACUUUUCAGGGGGAUUUAUUGAUGAUACUUGUUGAUUAAUCCAUGAAAAAUACCAAUACAUGGUUCGUGAGCAGACGAACCAUUGAAAGGGCCUAGCGCAGUCUAGCUACAUCCAGCCAGAUACUAGUAGAACCCAAAACAUUGUUUUGACAAGUACUGUCAUAUUUCGGUUGCAGUUUUUCACUAAAUACCAAGCUAAUCCUAGCCUGAGCUACGACAGUUUUACCUACAAAUGUUAGCGUUUCGUGCUGCAACUAGUAGUUGAUAUUCCAGGAUGUUAUGCCUAAAAUUGGAAUUCAGCUAUCAGAGAUUAGCAAAAUUCAAGCGGAAACUCUAGAUAGCGUUGAUGUGCGUCUAUGAUGAAGAUUAUGAGUGACAAGUUACGUGUUUCUUAUGUUACCCUUUUAUGUGUUUCAAAGGAUUUUUCGUCAAAAAAUUUACGAUUGCUUUUUGUACGUGGUGGUGUUUCGCCUUGUCAGCUAUGCCAGCUGCUGAACCAGCAGCUUGCAUUCCUGCUAUCAAUGUACCACAAGGGAUCCUGACACUUUAAGAAGGCCACUAUUCCUUACAUGAAGAUCACCAUCCAGUUCAAUCAACAACAGAGUCUUCAUCUACUUCGUGUUGCUAACCAUCAGCCCUCAGCAUCCCAGGUAUCCAGAUUUCCAAGUUUCUCUGAUUAGCCAACCAUCAUCCAUACCCUUCAGCACUUCAUUGUGGCUUCUCUUCCUCUCUUCUUAGUCUGCUGAUUGCCAACAUUGAAUAAGGUUCAUCGUCAUAGCAUUUCCAUGGUAUUUUCAUUUGGUGGAUUAUCUAGCUGCUGUUUUUUGCACCGUUGCUUAGCCAGCUCACAUGGACAUGCUUUACCAACAUCUCCAUUUUUUUGGACUGGAAAUAUUCAUCUUCCUUCGUCGUCUUGGCCGUCUUCGCCUUCAUCUCCGUCUCGUCGUCUUGGCCGUCUUCGCCUUCAUCUCCGUCUUCGCCUUCAACUCCGUCUCGUCGUCUUGGACGUCUUCGCCUUUGUUUCAUCGCCGUCUUGGCCGUUUAUCUCUACGCCAUCACUUUGUCGCCGGCUUCUCCUUCGCCCUUCACGUAGGGAGUUCACCGUGGAUCGUCGUCCUGGUAUUGUCUUAUUUGGCAUUUUUAUGUUUAAGUUAACCCGUUGGCUGCCACCCCGUUUGCGUCCCAUUUUUUUUGUAGCUUGUAGGGACCGGCCGCAAUGGCCUUCGCCGCAAGGCGCCUUAGGCAAUGCACCAGUAGGGACUUCUCUUUGUCGAUGCGGUGGCGGAUUCCUGAGGGUGUGCAUUCCCUGUAAUGGAUUCCGUCACCGUGUCAGCCCGGACUUGUCUUCGGACAAGUCCCACCUUGUUCGCGAUCCUUAUGACGCGAUGCGUAGCUACUGUAGUUUAAGCAACCUACGGGUUGCAUGGCCUGGCAGCCAACGGGUUAACUUAGUUAAUUGUAUGUAUGUUUAUGUAAAUAUGUGUAUGUAUAUUUAUUGUGAUGUAAAAUAGUGGUGGAAUUG
rnacentral:lncRNA from 1 species